rnacentral:rRNA from 1 species
CAGUCGAACGAUGAUCUCCCGCUUGCGGGGGUGAUUAGUGGCGAACGGGUGAGUAAUACGUGAGUAACCUGCCCUUGACUCUGGGAUAAGCCUGGGAAACCGGGUCUAAUACUGGAUACUACUCCUCAUCGCAUGGUGGGGGGUGGAAAGGGUUUUACUGGUUUUGGAUGGGCUCACGGCCUAUCAGCUUGUUGGUGGGGUAAUGGCUCACCAAGGCGACGACGGGUAGCCGGCCUGAGAGGGUGACCGGCCACACUGGGACUGAGACACGGCCCAGACUCCUACGGGAGGCAGCAGUGGGGAAUAUUGCACAAUGGGCGGAAGCCUGAUGCAGCGACGCCGCGUGAGGGAUGACGGCCUUCGGGUUGUAAACCUCUUUCAGCAGGGAAGAAGCCACAAGUGACGGUACCUGCAGAAGAAGCGCCGGCUAACUACGUGCCAGCAGC